GAAUAAUUUUAACUAAUAUCCAACCUGAACUUCACCUGGCACAACUUAAGGCCAUCACCUCUUGUCCUGUUGCUAUUCCCUGCGGGAAGAAGCUGACUGCAACUCACUACAAUCUCCUUUCAGUAACAAUGCAAGAAUGACAGUCUACCUUCAUGCUGUACCCUCCUCGGGGAGAAAUCAAUCCUUUAAUUAAGCAAUUGCUCUGAGGAUAUUAGGGAUACCCAUGUUGCUGGGCAUGUAUUGGAGGAAUUUUGGAGGAGUGCUCAGUAGAGGCAACACCUGGAACAAAGAAUCAAAAGCAGUGCGAGCAACACACCAUAAAUGUCCCCCAUCCAACUUUGAAUUAAACACCCACUCAGCUGAAACGUUUGAAUGAUGAACAUCAUCAUCUGGGGAUGAGGGGGGAGGGAAAUCUAGGCGGCUUUAUUUUUUCCAGCGUUACAGAAAGUUAUUUCCUUCCUCCCGCAGAUGUGCAGCUCGGCACUGGAAACAGUUACCCGUCGAGUUCAAGCAGCUGUACUCAUGUGUCACCAGGCAAUGAAACGCCAGCCCCGAGCUGUCAGCUCCACCAUUGAAAUUAAUGGGCCAGACUGUUUACAUUACUGGAAAUCAUCCCAUUUAAAUAUAUAUGUUAGGCUGAAUACGUAAAGCAACUGUGAAUUGGCAGUGUGGAGAGAAGGGGAUCGGGUCUGGAAAAGGGAAGUUGGAUUGGGACAUGACAGGGUGUAAAAGGAGAAAAUCCGGGAGAUUUCCCUCAGGGGAAAGAUAUUAAUUUGAUGAAAGAAGUGUAAGGAAAGACAAAAAUUGAUCAGAUAGCACUGGAAUGAGAGAGAUAAAGGGGACAAUCGUUUUAUGUAUGGAUAAAAGGAUGGAUGGAUAUAUGAGCUCUGUUCAAGAAUAAACUCAGAGUGGGAUCAUAUCAGUGUCCCAAGCACCAGAGGUCACUGGGAUCAAAUAUCUCCAAGGGUCACAGAGCCUUUCAGCAGUAAUGGAGAACUUCAAACAGAGGAAAACACACAGACUAGGAAUGGAAUUUUUUUUUUCUUUGUUAGUAUUCAGGAAGAGCAUCAUUUUUCUGCAGCACUUUCAGAGAGUAAAUAAUCAAGAACAUGCUGCUGGAAGAACUGGGAAUGGGCCAGAGAACAUGGGUGUGAGGCAGGGAAUGUUCAGAUGCAGGCAUGGUCUGAGGAGAGUGAUGAAGGCUUCUCAGUUGGAGAUAGAAGAGAGGAGGAGCAGUGAACUGCAGCCUGUCCUGGGACAAUGUGGUAGCCCAGAUCCCCUAUUCUGGGUUUGCUAUGAUGGGAAUUUCUUGCCUCCACCAAAGGAUACCUAUUAGUUUCUUCUUGGAAAAGAAGAAGCCCAUCUUGUUUGGGCUCUCAGCGGAGGGAUCACACGCUACAAGACUCUGAAGAUCCAGUUGUCAUGGCUUUGUAGGAACUCCAUGGUGGUGCUGGGCUGGAGGUUAUCCGUGGUGACUCACACUGGGAUGUUUGGGAACUCCAAGAUAACGCUGGGUUGGAGAUCCAUCUGGGACUGUUCAAACUGCAGAAGAGGAGGCUCAGGGGAGACCUUAUUUUUUUCUACAACACCCUGAAAGGAGGUUCUAGUGAGAAAUUUGUCUCUGCUCCAGAGUGCUGCAAGAAGCAGAACUGCAAAGGGAGGGUGCGAUGUGAGCAGAUCGCAGCAUCCAGUCGUCAAGUAUUAAUGGGCCAGGAAUGCUGCAGCUGUAAAAUGUGGAAAGAAAAUCAUUCUGUUUUGCAGAAGGACCUCGCCGAGGAUGACUCCACCAGCACAAUCCACCAAUCUAUCACCUCCCAGAAUCCCACAUGAGAAGCUUGAAGAUCAGACAGGGAAUUAUGAAUCCCAUAGCUGUACUGGAGCCCCAGAAGGACAGAAGAUGAAGAAGAGGACAUUAGAGACAGGGUGGGGACCAUGGAGCCUGGGCCAGAUGAAUGCUUCAGUAUGCUCGGAAGUGUCAGUGAAGCAAAUAGAGUGUUUCUAACAGAGUCCUGAGCAUUGAAAAAUAGUGCUUAAAUUGCCUCCAGAACCAGCGUGAAAUCUGAAGAUUUGGGAAUAUCUCUUGUGACUGAUUGAGUGACCGACUGAUUUGCUGAUAUCUGUGCUGUACGUGUGCGCUAGUGUUUAAUUCAGAUGUUCAAACACCAUUUCCUUGAGCUGAGUUGGAUGCUAGAGGCUCCCAGACUCCAGCUUUUGCUUCUGAAAAGCACUCGUCUGCCCUUAACUGUGUCACUUUGCCAGCCCCGUGGGAUGUGCCUCAGAUGCACGAGGGCAUCUUGGAUGGCACCAGGCUCUGUGCGUGGGCUGCUGAAUCCCACCCUCUGAGUCAGAAAGAUUGUAUUCUCAAGGUUUUCUCUACAGUUGCUGGGAUCAGAACUUUACCUUCAAAAUAAAUAACAUCCGAAGCCAAGAUUCCUGGAUGGUCAAUUAAUUUUGUGGGGGCUGGUUUGGAAAGAUUCUGAAACCCAAUCCUCUCUGUAAAACUGAGAGUCUUGGCAGCUGUGUCAAGAAGCAAAGUGUAUGUUUUCUCUAGAAUUAUUUCUACCAUAAUAAGAGAAAAUAGCAAUAAGAAAGAGCCUCAUCUCCUUUUAUUUAUUUUCAGAGGUCUCCAAGGGUCUCUUGUUUGUCCCUCUUCCUGCUGGAAAGCAGAAGAACACAAGAUGAGGUCAAGCCUCAUGUUUAUUUGCACAAGAACGAAAUUAUUAGAUAACCUCUCCUGACUGUACAUGUUAAUCCAUGGGGUUUCGGUAACAUGGAUGUUCAUCAUACCUGUCCUACGGAUAACUCAUUUAAUGAAAUGAGGUGAAAGGUGCUAACCCUGCAUUAGGAGCUGGGUUGGGUUUUGACCAGUAAAGGGAAGGUUUCUGGUUUGGACAUCCACUGUUCUUUGGUCUUGAGCAAAGAAUGAGAUGCAAAUGGCACAUUCUGAACUGCCAGGCUUUUCCAUUCAUUUCUAGGGUCUCCUGCAUCAAACUUGCAGGGCAAGCUCACGUAGAAGAAAACAAAGGAUUGCACAAACUCCAGCUGAUAUGAAACUGAUGACCUUUGUUCUGCUCCUUGGUUAACCACCAUGAAAUUAUUAUUGCAGAGAUAAGCAUCAUAAAUUUUGGUGUCUGGCUUUUUUCCUAGAUCCUGCUUAGCAGUAUUUCUUGGUAGUUUCUUAGUAGAUACUUUUUAGCCCUGGCACCAUUCCUGGAGUACUGGCAAUUAAUCCUAUUAACAUUUAUCUUUAAAAAUAGUGAGGUAUUCAGCCUCCCCAGCUGAACACUGUUGAAUACAGGGAGAGCCUGCAAUAGAGCAGAGCACACAGAUGGCAGGGAGACCACUGAUCUCCCAACAUUCCUUCUGCUAUGGAUGUCUAGGACCUUCUCACUUUGUUUCUCUCUCUCUGGUAAAUUCAUGCCCAUCAUUUCCAGACUUUGCAGAGGUGAGAUAAAUGUACCUGUUUUUAUGUUUUCAUGUUUGUUUUUUUAUGUUUUUAUGCCUCGCUUCUUAUGUUGAGUUGUUGAAGUGAUGCUGAGUGAAGCUUUUCCUCCAGCUUCUUCCAGGGAAUGCUCCUGCACUGAAGAGAUGCUCUGGACCCUCACAUUGCUGGAUUUAUUGCCUAAGAGUAACAUGGUAUUCUUCUCCAUUGAGAACCCAAAUCUUUCAGUCCAAAUCUGGGAGGAAGAGGGGCAGAAACAAAGGCUAGGACAUGGAAAAUGGAGAGCAACACAGUGACUGUGAGCUGUGAACCCAGAGGAAGCUCAUGGAGUUGAACCCACUGCAGGAGGAAGCACUGCGGACCAUGGAGAAUGAAGAAGUCAAGGGCAGAAAUAGGAGGAGCCUGAGCAGAGAAAUGAAGGGUCCUCAUCAGGAACUCAUAGAGAAUAGCAAAGGAAAUCAGCAUCCUGGGAAAUGGCUUCCCUCCAGGAGCCAGCUGCCAAGGAGAGCUCUGCAGAACCAGGAGAACCCUUUGGGUAAAGCAUGUAUUUUUAUUUGGGGUCCAUGGUAGCCAUGAGCUGCAUUUCAAUGGAAUCUAUUGGUCCAACCUUAAAAAUGAAACUUGUAAAAUACAGAGCACAGAAGCUGGUUAUGGCUUAAAGAGAAAGGAAAGUCUUGCUCCUUCCUACUAGAUCACUCCACAGAUUCAUGGGUUCCUCAUCCUUUCAGCCUGUUGUCCCCAGCUACCAGAAUCUCAAGCAAUGGUUUUUGGAAAGUUGCUGGGGAUGUAUUCAUCUCUUUUUGUGAUAGACACUGAUGACGAAUGUCUAUCUAUUUAUUUAUUUUUUAACACAUUAUUUGGUCUUGAAAUCUUGGCUGUUUUAGUCCUGGCUGCUUUACUAUCAACAGGAAGUCUAUGGCAAUAGCUCACAAGAGUCAGUCCUUGAGAAGAUGCCUUCCAACAGGCAUUUUGAGGUUUUAAUCCUUUUUGGUGUUCCUCAUUAUUUCAGUUAAUAAAUCCAGGGUGGUUGCAGUGAUGAUUCAUGCAGGAUGCAUCCUGUUUCUUCUCUCCCACAUCUUUCUGGCAAAAAGCUGCUAUGGAUUAGGAACCUUGCCCUUCAUUUUUGGAGAUUUCUCUCCCACUAUAGACUUCAAAUGAGAAUUGCUGUGGUAUUUCACUGUGUGCUAUUUCAGAGUGCUGGCUUUUCUGACGCAGUCAUCAUCUAUAUGGAAAAGAGGUGUAUACAUGAAUCAGUAGUAUAGUUCAGCUGCAUCUGCAUUAGAAAGGCAUAAAAAUAAGUGCAACUCGUUCUUAUAAACAUAACUGCAGUAUUUGAAAUGUGUUCUUCUAGGAUGCGAUGCCAAGUCGGCAGUUCAGAUAUAUGCCAAGACACUUUGCAGACAGGAAGUGCAGAAUAAACAAGGUCCUACAAUUUCA